rnacentral:misc_RNA from 1 species
UUUUGUUUUCUGUUCUUUUUUAUUAUUUCCCUUGCACAAAACUCAAAGAACUUGCAAAGGAAAACGCCACAACUAGAAUCAUCAGCUUGGCAUGGGCUAUCCUCAAAUUUGAUUAUUUUGCAUUGCUUAGGGUCAACGGAGUCCUCCAAUAAUUGAAACAUCAAAAAAAUAAUGGCUUAUAGGUUUUUAAAUUUUGCUCUGUGGAAUAAAAAAUAGAAAUAUUUUUUUCCUUUCUAGGUCAAUAGAAGCUCGAAAGAAGUGCUUCAUAAGUAGCAUUGAAAAAAAGAGCUUUUUGUGCUUUUUGUUAUGUUUAGGAUAUUCUUGGAAAUCAUUAAAUUUCAUCAUAAUAAGGCAAAGAGUCAUGAUGGGGUAGAAAUAACAGUAUUCGAAAUUCUGACGUAGAGUUUCAAAAAAAUAAUCAAUAUCCCAAGUAUUGAACCACGAGCUUGGUUUGAGUAACUCCAAGUAUGGACCGUUAGUACAUAAUUGCUCUUUUAUUUUCUCUACAAUCACGUCAGCAGAAUACAUUCUUGUAAUGAGCUUUUGUGAAACAGAGUAAUGAGCUGCCUUAUAUGAUCCAGUCACAAUGUUAAAUUCAUUCACACUUUUCAACAUCAAAUUUUUUCCACAGAUAUUCACUCUCUCAAUCUGAUUAUGCAUCAUGGACACUCCAUUCAGUUUAUUAGCUUCAUCCGAUGUCCUUGUCACGACUACACUGGAUUCUAG